UUAACUUAUUAUAUAGUACUCAGACGACAUAUAACACAGAAUUGGGGGGCUUUUGGCAGGCACGACACGGGCGAGCCCGGACGCCCCAUGGUGAGGGCAACCUGCCAAAGCAACAAUAGUAAUUAAACAGGGUGGGAGGUCUACCCCGAAGGGCAUGAACUCUGUAAUGAUCCUUCCGCUGGUUCACCAACGGAAA
rnacentral:misc_RNA from 1 species